UCUGCCUCCCAAGUGCUGGGAUUAAAGGCGUGCGCCACCACGCCCGGCUUCCAUUGUAGGUUCUUAAGUAAAGCCUAUGUCUGCUUUCUGCCCAGACAGUCCCAUGACCUGAGCAUUUGCCUUACAGGAGUAAGUGCUGAGUUACAUAAAAACUUAUAUUCAAGAAUAUCCCAGGGGCCAGUGAGAUAGCACAGAGGUGAAAGAAAGCCUGCCAUGCAAGCUUGAGGGCCUGAGUUUGCUCCCCAGAAGCCACAGUGGGAGGAGAGAGUAGUCUCCAAAGUUAUCAUCCGACCUUCAUAAACACUCUAUGAUAUGUGGCCCUGUUUCCUCUAUACCUCAUACACACACAUACAUAGUCAAAUCAAUAAAAUUACAAAAAAUUAACUUCAUAGCAUCCCAAAACUCUAAGUUCAUUCAAAUACACAUUGACAGAUGAAUUAGAAAGAUAAAGCCAGGUGAAGUGGCACACAUGACCUGACUUGGGUUCAAGGUCAGCUCCAGGUACAACAAGACUGUCUCUAAGACCCACCAGGAUGCCUACGGAAAGGACAGUUAAGCAGUGUGUGGUAUCCAUGCAAAGAACUGAACAUCAUGGCACAGAGGGCAGCUCUGAGAAACACCAGGCAUGAUGGAUCCCUGCAACUGUGUGUGAGCUAAAGGAGACACACAAAGCAGGUGCCCGUUCAGUUAUGCCUCUAUAGAGUUCAAAGACAGACAAAGCUGGUCGGUGUCAGGAUGGUGGUUGUUACAGGGGCGGGGGGUGGGGGGGGAGCUGCAAGCUGACAGGAAGUUGGGAACUGGUUUGGAUAGGGGUAUACGUCAAAUGUGGAGUUAAUUGACUAUGAUUUGUAAACAUCCGUGAUAGACUUUGCUCCCAUGACGACACACAUAUAGGGCAGAUUAGACCAGAUUAAAAGUAGAUGAAGGCAGGUUUGUUAGGAGGCAGCUUUCAGGUGGGUUCCCCGAUCUCCCAGGUGGAGGUCACUGAAGUCACAUCUGGCCUAAAGCAGAUUUUAUAGACUUUAGUCGAGGAAUGAUGAUGUGCAAGCUAGGAGCUGGAUGGUGUCCAUACACGGUCAAAAACUGAGCCCCUGGGCAGGCACUCCGGAAUUUUCUUUGUGCCAGCCAGGUUGGGGAAAGGAGGACAGAUGGCUUGUGCAGGGUCAGUCAAGAAGGGUUCCAGCCUAACAAAUAUAUGCAAAUUAAGCCUUAUUUUUAGAGGCAUGUUUUAGGAAGUUGUUAAUAUAUAUUAUUUGUUGAUGAGAAAAGGCCAUCGGCAUGUAAAGGCACCUGUGUUCAGGCCUGACCUCCUGAGUUCAGUCCCUGAGACCUGUGGGGUAGAGGGAGAGACCUGAGCUCCACCUGUGUACAUUCCCAAUAAAUACAUGCAAUUGAAUUUC
rnacentral:lncRNA from 1 species